GUGUGUGUGUGUGUGUGUAUUUUGGGCAAGAGUAAUCCCAUAUUGAGAACAGUGUGUAAUGUUUCCCAAGUGAGUACAAGGCACAGUGGUCAACGUCAGCGCUGACCAUCAAGUUUUACCAGCAACACUUACUUCAGACGGUCAAUAAAAACAUGUCUUAAGAAAUAAACUCUUUAUUUACAAUGAUUACAAGCAAAUGAAAACUGAAAAGUGAGAUGUCCAGCCAAUAUGUGCAUGGCUCAAGCAAAGCCUAGGUUUCCCUCU